rnacentral:rRNA from 1 species
CGAUGAACUCCAGCUUGCUGGGGGGAUUAGUGGCGAACGGGUGAGUAACACGUGAGUAACCUGCCCUUGACUCUGGGAUAAGCGUUGGAAACGACGUCUAAUACCGGAUACGACCAGCCUCGGCAUCGGGUGUUGGUGGAAAGAAUUUUGGUCAAGGAUGGACUCGCGGCCUAUCAGGUAGUUGGUGAGGUAAUGGCUCACCAAGCCUACGACGGGUAGCCGGCCUGAGAGGGUGACCGGCCACACUGGGACUGAGACACGGCCCAGACUCCUACGGGAGGCAGCAGUGGGGAAUAUUGCACAAUGGGCGAAAGCCUGAUGCAGCAACGCCGCGUGAGGGACGACGGCCUUCGGGUUGUAAACCUCUUUUAGCAGGGAAGAAGCGAAAGUGACGGUACCUGCAGAAAAAGCACCGGCUAACUACGUGCCAGCAGCCGCGGUAAUACGUAGGGUGCAAGCGUUGUCCGGAAUUAUUGGGCGUAAAGAGCUCGUAGGCGGUUUGUCGCGUCUGCUGUGAAAACCCGAGGCUCAACCUCGGGCCUGCAGUGGGUACGGGCAGACUAGAGUGCGGUAGGGGAGAUUGGAAUUCCUGGUGUAGCGGUGG